rnacentral:pre_miRNA from 1 species
AUUCUACUCCCUCCGUUGCACAAUACAUGCCUUCUAUUUGUCAAAAUAUAUGUGUAUCUAGACAUGUUUUAGUAUAUAGGUACAUCCAUUUUUGGACAAAUGGAAGUCAAGUAUUUUGGAACGGAGGGAGUAAACA